AUAGAAGCAGGAAGCGUUUGACCUGCCGCCUUUAUAUGGGCACUUGGGCGGCAGCGAGCGAAUAGUGAGACCGACCUCAAA
rnacentral:ncRNA from 1 species